GAUGAACGCUGGCGGCGUGCUUAACACAUGCAAGUCGAACGGUGAAGGCGGAGCUUGCUCUGCUGGAUCAGUGGCGAACGGGUGAGUAACACGUGAGCAAUCUGCCCCUGACUCUGGGAUAAGCGCUGGAAACGGCGUCUAAUACUGGAUACGAGCUGCGAAGGCAUCUUCAGCAGCUGGAAAGAAUUUCGGUCAGGGAUGAGCUCGCGGCCUAUCAGCUUGUUGGUGAGGUAAUGGCUCACCAAGGCGUCGACGGGUAGCCGGCCUGAGAGGGUGACCGGCCACACUGGGACUGAGAGACGGCCCAGACUCCUACGGGAGGCAGCAGUGGGGAAUAUUGCACAAGGGGCGAAAGCCUGAUGCAGCAACGCCGCGGGAGGGACGACGGCCUUCGGGUUGUAAACCUCUUUUAGCAGGGAAGAAGCGAAAGUGACGGUACCUGCAGAAAAAGCGCCGGCUAACGACGUGC
rnacentral:rRNA from 1 species